GAUGAACGCUGGCGGCGUGCCUAAUACAUGCAAGUCGAGCGAACAGACGAGGAGCUUGCUCCUCUGACGUUAGCGGCGGACGGGUGAGUAACACGUGGAUAACCUACCUAUAAGACUGGGAUAACUUCGGGAAACCGGAGCUAAUACCGGAUAAUAUAUUGAACCGCAUGGUUCAAUAGUGAAAGACGGUUUUGCUGUCACUUAUAGAUGGAUCCGCGCCGCAUUAGCUAGUUGGUAAGGUAACGGCUUACCAAGGCGACGAUGCGUAGCCGACCUGAGAGGAUAAGCAGCCCCACUGAAAAUGACAAACGACACAACCCCAACGGGAGACGGAGAGUAGGGAUACUCACGGAAGGGGGGAAAGCCAGUGGAACAAAGGCGACAGGAUUAAAAAGAAUUUACGUUUCAAAAAACGUUUUUUUUAGGGAAAAAAAAAUUUGUAAAAAAAAAAACCAGAAUGACCGUACCCAAAGAAGAAGCCACCGCCAAACCCGCG
rnacentral:rRNA from 1 species